AUUGAACGCUGGCGGCAUGCCUUACACAUGCAAGUCGAACGGCAGCACGGGUGCUUGCACCUGGUGGCGAGUGGCGAACGGGUGAGUAAUACAUCGGAACGUACCUUAUCGUGGGGGAUAACGCAGCGAAAGCUGUGCUAAUACCGCAUAAGCCCUGAGGGGGAAAGCGGGGGAUCGAAAGACCUCGCGCGAUUAGAGCGGCCGAUGCCUGAUUAGCUUGUGGGUGGGGUAAAAGCCCACCAAGGCGACGAUCAGUAGCUGGUCUGAGAGGACGAUCAGCCACACUGGGACUGAGACACGGCCCAGACUCCUACGGGAGGCAGCAGUGGGGAAUUUUGGACAAUGGGGGCAACCCUGAUCCAGCAAUGCCGCGUGAGUGAAGAAGGCCUUCGGGUUGUAAAGCUCCUUUGUCAGGGAAGAAACACCGGCUCUAACACAGUCCGGGAAUGACGGUACCUGAAGAAUAAGCACCGGCUAACUACGUGCCAGCCGCCGCGGUAA
rnacentral:rRNA from 1 species